CUUCUUCUCCUCUGCUCCACCUGCGUCACUUGGCUGCUCGUGCCUCCUCCCUCCAUCUCGCAUUUCUUCCACCCCAUGCUGGCACGCAAGGCUGCUGCGUCUGCCAUCCGCUCGCGGACCCUGGAGCCAAACAUCGACCCCUUCGAACGCCGCACGACUUGGCUCGGAGCUGCCCGCCUCCGACCGGCAAGCUCGGGACAAGCGAGGUUGGCCGACCACGGCGGGGCCGCAGGCAAGCUUGGGCACGGCCAUGGUCGACGGGUGGCGCGCUCGGGGCCAGCGAGCUCGACCCAGACACGAGGACGCGGGCUCGCUACAACCCGCCUGGAUCUGCCGCAGAAGACGCGGCGUGGUGGCAACGUGGAUUCGGGAGAUGGGGACAAGGGUAGGGAGCUGGGGAUGACCGGCAAUGAGGCUAGGAGGCGGAGGAGCUCGGGUCCUCGGCAGCUGCGCGGGCAAGAAGCUGGAAAAUAGUAACAGUAGAAACAAAAAAAGUAGAGGUCUUCCUUAGCCAUCCGUUGGAGAAAAGGGUUACGAACAACCAGAUUGGGAGGGAAAUUUUUAGACAUCUGGUAUGCGGCGGUGCAUCUGCAAGAAGCAAAGGGCGGCAGCGGCGUAGCUGCUUUGCUGGUGGUGAAGAGGGCGACAGCAACUGUCGAGGCGUCAAUCCCCUCCACAAGGAAGCAAAGCCAACACAAACAUGGCCAAUGGAGACGCGGCAAGCGAUAGCGAUAAACAAUUGGAUGCCACUAGCAGUGGUGGGAUUGGUGCGUACGUUGUCGAACAGGGUACACGAACGAGAUCACGGGUCCUGGAGGCGGAAUCUAUUCCCGUUCACACUGGAGCUUGCGUGGUCGGCACGAGUUGCCCCUGGGCCACGUCAGUCGCCUUUGGCUCUUUGUUGUUUCUUUGGUUCCUGUUGAUCCCAAACCUUUUCUUUUUUAGCAGUAUGUCUUCCAAACCUUGGAGAGCUGAGCAAGACAAAGAAUCUUUUCUAUUUCACAUAUGGCCUGAAUCCCGGACCCGAUGAACAAAUAUUCUAUUUGAUUUUGGAUUCAGUCCGGAGAUGUCGACUUCGUUGAGUAUUGCGCCUGCCACUGGCUCUCGCUGGGAUUUGCUUUGCCUUGGGCAUUUUGCGUCCACCGGAAACUCCUCGUUAUAGCAAAACAGGAGCACGAUCCGGUUCUCGCCACGUUCUUGUGUCCUUAACCUCCCGCAGCCGGUGGUGACGAGGUGCCCGUGCCAUGCCACAAGUUCACCGCCAUCCAGCAGCUGGGGGCCGGUAGUGAACCACGGAAUUACACCAGCUGUGGUUAUUUUAUGGGGACUUACUGAACAAAUUGUUGGUGCCAGCUGUCUAAAGAGGAAGAGAAAUUCCUAAAGAAGAGCUGUCCUACAAUGGAGAGCGCUGUCGUAGAGUUUGUCAGUAAAUUUGGAUGGCUCAGGAGCAUAAUAAAAACAUCUAGUUUCUUUUCUGUUCAAUGUCUUGUUUUUUUUUUGUUAUGGUUGGCUUUUGCUGGCAGCCCGAGUGCUGUGUUUGUAAUACUUUGGUUAUAGACAUUCAACUUUGAGUGUUCUCCUUAAUCUAAAAAGACCUGUAACACCGCAGAUCCUUGUGAAUCUGUUGGAGCUGUGCGCAGUAGCCUGCCUGUUC